rnacentral:rRNA from 1 species
GACGAACGCUGGCGGCGUGCUUAACACAUGCAAGUCGAACGGAAAGGCCUUGUUUUUGUUGGGGGCUCGAGUUGCGAACGGGUGAGUAACACGUGAGUAACCUGCCCUAGACUUUGGGAUAACUGCAGGAAACUGGGGCUAAUACCGCAUAUGAGCUCCUGCUGCAUGGUGUGGGUCGGAAAGUUUCGGCGGUUGGUGAUGGACUCGCGGCUUAUCAGCUUGUUGGUGGGGUAGUGGCUUACCAAGGCUUUGACGGGUAGCCGGCCUGAGAGGGUGACCGGCCACAUUGGGACUGAGAUACGGCCCAGACUCCUACGGGAGGCAGCAGUGGGGAAUAUUGCACAGUGGGCGGAAGCCUGAUGCAGCAACGCCGCGUGCGGGAUGACGGCCUUCGGGUUGUAAACCGCUUUCGCCUGUGACGAAGCGUGAGUGACGGUAAUGGGUAAAGAAGCACCGGCUAACUACGUG